rnacentral:rRNA from 1 species
CUCUUCUUGUUUGUUGAUUUGAAGUAUGGCCUGCCCGCUGAGGUUAUUGAAGGGCCGCGGUAUUUUGACCGUGCAAAGGUAGCAUAAUCAUUAGCUUUUUAAUUGUGAGCUGGUAUGAAUGGUUUGACGAGGCAUUAGCUGUCUUUAACUUAAGGGUUGUUGAAUUUGUUUUUUAGGUAAGAAUACCUGGAUUUUUUUAUGGGACGAGAAGACCCUAUAGAGUUUUAUAUGACGCAUUUCCUUUAGUUUGUUGUGUUUGCGGGGUGUUGGUUUAUAUUUUGUUGGGGCGAUGAGAAGGUAGGUGUAACCCUUCUUUUAUUGUGUUUUCACUUAUUUGUGCUUUUUUGAUCCUUUUUUAUUGAUUGUGAGAUUAAAUUACCUUAG